GACGAACGCUGGCGGCGUGCUUAACACAUGCAAGUCGAACGGAAAGGCCCUGCUUUUGUGGGGUGCUCGAGUGGCGAACGGGUGAGUAACACGGGAGUAACCUGCCCUUGACUUUGGGAUAACUUGAGGAAACUGGGGCUAAUACCGGAUAGGAGCUCCUGCGGCAUGGUGGGGGUUGGAAAUUUUCGGCGGUUGGGGAUGGACUCGCGGCUUGUCAGCUUGUUGGUGGGGUAGUGGCUUACCAAGGCUUUGACGGGUAGCCGGCCUGAGAGGGUGACCGGCCACAUUGGGACUGAGAUACGGCCCAGACUCUUACGGGAGGCAGCAGUGGGGAAUUUUGCACAAUGGGCGGAAGCCUGAUGCAGCAACGCCGCGUGCGGGAUGACGGCCUUCGGGUUGUAAACCGCUUUCGCCUGUGACGAAGCGUGAGUGACGGUAAUGUGUAAAGAAGCACCGGCUAACUACGUG
rnacentral:rRNA from 1 species